UACGUAGGGUGCAACGUUGUCCGGAAUUAUUGGCGUAAAGAGCUCGUAGGCGGUCUGUCGCGUCGGCUGUGAAAACCCGGGGCUCAACCCCGGGCCUGCAGUCGAUACGGGCAGACUAGAGUGCGGUAGGGGAGACUGGAAUUCCUGGUGUAGCGGUGAAAUGCGCAGAUAUCAGGAGGAACACCGGUGGCGAAGGCGGGUCUCUGGGCCGAUACUGACACUGAGGAGCGAAAGCGUGGGGAGCGAACAGG
rnacentral:rRNA from 1 species